GGGUCGAUGGCGUAGCUGGUUAUCGCAUCUGUCUAACACGGCCAAUGUCACAGAAGGUCCUCAGUUCGAACCUGGGUCGACUCA